rnacentral:rRNA from 1 species
GGCGAACGGGUGAGUAACACGUGGGUGAUCUGCCUUGCACUUCGGGAUAAGCCUGGGAAACUGGGUCUAAUACCGGAUAGGACCAUGCUUUAGUGUGUGUGGUGGAAAGUUUUUCGGUGCAAGAUGAGCCCGCGGCCUAUCAGCUUGUUGGUGGGGUAAUGGCCUACCAAGGCGACGACGGGUAGCCGGCCUGAGAGGGUGUACGGCCACAUUGGGACUGAGACACGGCCCAG